rnacentral:rRNA from 1 species
GAGAGAGACAUGCGCGCAUAUCAAUAAGCGGAGGAAAAGAAACUAACAAGGAUUCCCCUAGUAACGGCGAGUGAAGCGGGAAGAGCUCAAAUUUGAAAUCUUAAAGGGUUUCCCUUUACGAAUUGUAGUUUAAAGAAGUGUUUUCUGUUGAGGUUUUGGUAAAAGUUCGUUGGAAUAGGACAUCAUAGAGGGUGAGAAUCCCGUAUUUGACCUUUACUUUCAACUUUGUGAUACACUUUCAAAGAGUCGGAUUGUUUGGGAAUGCAGUCCAAAAUGGGUGGUAAAUUUCAUCUAAAGCUAAAUAUUGGCGAGAGACCGAUAGCGAACAAGUACCGUGAGGGAAAGAUGAAAAGAACUUUGAAAAGAGAGUUAAACAGUACGUGAAACUGUCAAAAGGGAAGCGUUUGACACCAGUGUUGUUUUUCUGAAAAUCAAUUAAAGAACUGUUUAUGCUAAGCUGUUUAGACUUUAUCAGCUAACUGUUUAGUUUUGAGCUUUUCUUUAAUGCACUUUUCAGUUAACAAGUCAACAUCAAUUUCUUUUGCUGUAAAAAAGCUUGAGGAAGGUGGCUUGAGAUUCGUCUUAAGUGUUUAUAGCCUCUUGCCUAUGCAGUCGGAGAGAUUGAGGUCUGCAGCGUAGAUCCUUCGGGGCUAAAUGCAUUUGUGCUAAGUUAUAGCAUUUUAUAGACAACUUGUUGACUAUGAUUUGUCUUGUAGCUUACUCGCUUAUGUUAUUUUACCUACGCUUAGGAUGUUGACGCAUGAGAUAUACGC